AUACCGAGGACCGAUUCCCUCGUAAAUCCAUUCGGAAAAAAACAAACGCAAACGACGAACGUUUUGCUCUCGCAGCCUAAGUGCUAGCGAGCGCUGCACCGGCUCUCUGAUGGGCCGGGCGGGGCAACCCGCAGCAGUGUCAUUCACAUCAGAUCGUCAUCGGAUAAGCCGUGGGUCCGAUGCCUAAAACAAGCGGAUCGCCAGUUGCCGGCCUGUCGGUUGGCUAAGCAGCUUGGUUAAAUCAAAUUAAUCGACUAAGUAUGUAGAACUGUCUUUGGAAGACUUGCGGACGCGGGUUCGAUUCCCGCCGGCUCCACCA
rnacentral:tmRNA from 1 species